UCGCAGGUGUUCCUCAUAACGGGCAUUAGUGAGCAGCCUUCGUACCUUCUAGGUAGUUUUGCCUUCCUAACGUAUAAUAUAAACGGUACUGUGGAGGUGGAAAAAUAAUGACUGGGGUUUAAUGUUUAAAAAUGGAUGUUUGAUAAGCUUGUAAAAAGAUCCACAGAUCUGGGGCUGAACACAUAAAAGCUAAAGGAUCCUGGGGUUGAAGACCUCAAAGUGGUGUGGAAGAUGGAUAACUGGAGGAGGUCCUUGCAUACAUUGUGUCCUUAUUGCAACAGAUGAAGUGAUCACUCACUGAGAGGAACUGCAUCGCACAUUCUGGAUCCUAUCUACAAUACAUCUGGGAAGCCCUACAGACCGAGUCAUUGCCUGGUUAUGGACAAAUAUUCAGGACGGGUCUUUUGACUUAAUUCUGAAAGAGUGCACUCUAGUGUUAUGCAACUGGCAAUUUGAAGAAAACAGUUGAUGGAAAUGAAUAACUGCAGAUGUAAUUUCAGAAAAUAUUACACUGGCUGAUCAUCUUGAGGGGUGCUGGGAAUAUCUAGUAGGAAAUGUUUGCUAGUGGGAAUAUCUAGUAGGAAAUGUUUGCUACAAAUUUUCAGCAGUCAUGGCUGUGAAAUGCUAAUGGUCUAUAUUCACAUAAUUACAUGAAGGGUACAGUAGCAAGUUUCAUGAAUACUGUUGCUGUUAAACUUCACAUGCAUAAGAUUAAAAAGUGUUUUUAAUUCAGUAAAUGACUAAGUUGGGAAUUGCAUUGCAGGUCCAAUACAGUGACACAGCAGUCCAUUCUAUGAUGCAUUCCAUACAAAAAUAUUGAUCCUUCAGUCAUAGUAAUGAAAACCUUUUUGUUAUUCUUG